rnacentral:rRNA from 1 species
UGGGGAAUUUUGGACAAUGGGGGAAACCCUGAUCCAGCCAUCCCGCGUGCGCGAUGAAGGCCUUCGGGUUGUAAAGCACUUUUGGCAGGAAAGAAACGUCAUGGGUUAAUACCCCGUGAAACUGACGGUACCUGCAGAAUAAGCACCGGCUAACUACGUGCCAGCAGCCGCGGUAAUACGUAGGGUGCAAGCGUUAAUCGGAAUUACUGGGCGUAAAGCGUGCGCAGGCGGUUCGGAAAGAAAGAUGUGAAAUCCCAGAGCUCAACUUUGGAACUGCAUUUUUAACUACCGGGCUAGAGUGUGUCAGAGGGAGGUGGAAUUCCGCGUGUAGCAGUGAAAUGCGUAGAUAUGCGGAGGAACACGGAUGGCGAAGGCAGCCGCCGGGGAUAACACUGAAGAUAAUGCACGAAAGCGUGGGGAGCAAACAGG